ACUGGGGAAUAAUCACUGGAAACGGUGACUAAUACCGCAUGUCAUCACCGGAGGGCAUCCUCUGGUAGAAAAAAGGAGUAAUUCGGUAUAGGAUGGGCCCGCAUCUGAUUAGCUAGUUGGUGAGAUAACAGCCCACCAAGCCGACGAUCAGUAGGGGUUCUGAGAGGAAGGUCCCCCACAUUGGAACUGGAGACACGGUCCAAACUCCUACGGGAGGCAGCAGUGAGGAAUAUUGGUCAAUGGGCGAAAGCCUGAACCAGCCAUGCCGCGUGAAGGUCACGGCCCUAUGGGUCUUAAACUUCUUUUGUAAGGGAGCAAUAAGGCGUACGUGUACGUCGAUGAGAGUACCUUACGAAUAAGCAUCGGCUAACUCCGUG
rnacentral:rRNA from 1 species